UGUAGAAAAAUAACAAAAAAUAAUAUGAAAACAAAAAUUGUAAACAGAGUUCUAGAUAAUAAACAUUAAGGGUGGUGUAAAAAGUGGGUAUAUUUUGAAUUCUUAAAUUGCCUUAAAGUUUGACUGUUUAAAUGGAUGUUUUGAGAUAAAUCCCAUCUUCUCUGUAAACUGUAACAGUGUCUCAAAUUUGGCAAUAUUGUGAUUUUGAAUGUCCUAGUUAACUGAGUUAACUCAAACUUUUAACAUUUGAAUUCUAUUCAGUAUUGAAAUAAAAUGUGAUG
rnacentral:lncRNA from 1 species